AUACGAAAGGUGCGAGCGUUGUUCGGAUUUACUGGGCGUAAAGCGAGUGUAGGUGGUUUGUUAAGUCGGAUGUGAAAUCCCGGGGCUCAACCUCGGAACUGCAUUCGAUACUGGCAGGCUAGAGUUCGGGAGGGGUAAGCGGAAUUCCGUGUGUAGCAGUGAAAUGCGUAGAUAUACGGAGGAACACCUGAGGCGAAGGCGGCUUACUGGACCGAUACUGACACUGAGACUCGAAAGCGUGGGUAGCAAACAGGAUUAGAUACCCCAGUAGUCC
rnacentral:rRNA from 1 species